UAAAAAUCAAAAAAAUCAAAAAUAAUUUUUGAUUUAUUUCCGAAUUAUACUAUUUGGAAAUUCAAACCCUAAACCCAAAACUCAACUCUAAACCCUAAACCAUCAAUCAUAAACCAUUUUUUUUUGAAAUACGAACCUUAAAUCCUAAACCAUCAAUCCUAAACCUCUUUUUUUUUGAAAUACGAACCCUAAACCCUAAACCAUCAAUCCUAAAUCCUUUUUUUUGAAAUACGAACCCUGAACCCUGAAACAUCAACUCUAAACCCUAAACCCCGAAAGAUCAACUCUAAGCCUUAGACCAUAAACCUUCAACUCUAAACCCUAAAACAUUAACUCUAAACCCUAAACCCUAAACCAUCAAUCCUAAACCCUAUUUUUUUUUAAAUACGAACCCUAAACCCUGAAACAUCAACUCUAAACCCUAAACCAUCAAUCCUAAACCUUUUUUUUAAUACGAACCCUGAACCCUAAACCCUGAAACAUAAACUCUAAACCCUAAACCCCAAAACAUCAACUCUAAACCAUAAACCCCAAA
rnacentral:lncRNA from 1 species